rnacentral:rRNA from 1 species
GGUUAAGUUAGAAAGGGCGCACGGUGGAUGCCUUGGCACUAGGAGCCGAUGAAGGACGGGACGAACACCGAUAUGCUUCGGGGAGCUGUAAGCAAGCUUUGAUCCGGAGAUUUCCGAAUGGGGAAACCCACCACUCGUAAUGGAGUGGUAUCCAUAUCUGAAUACAUAGGAUAUGAGAAGGCAGACCCGGGGAACUGAAACAUCUAAGUACCCGGAGGAAGAGAAAGCAAAUGCGAUUCCCUGAGUAGCGGCGAGCGAAACGGGACCAGCCCAAACCAAGAGGCUUGCCUCUUGGGGUUGUAGGACACUCUGUACGGAGUUACAAAGGAACGAGGUAGAUGAAGAGGUCUGGAAAGGCCCGCCAUAGGAGGUAACAGCCCUGUAGUCAAAACUUCGUUCUCUCCUGAGUGGAUCCUGAGUACGGCGGAACACGUGAAAUUCCGUCGGAAUCCGGGAGGACCAUCUCCCAAGGCUAAAUACUCCCUAGUGACCGAUAGUGAACCAGUACCGUGAGGGAAAGGUGAAAAGCACCCCGGAAGGGGAGUGAAAGAGAUCCUGAAACCGUGUGCCUACAAGUAGUCAGAGCCCGUUAACGGGUGAUGGCGUGCCUUUUGUAGAAUGAACCGGCGAGUUACGAUCCCGUGCAAGGUUAAGCAGAAGAUGCGGAGCCGCAGCGAAAGCGAGUCUGAAUAGGGCGAAUUGAGUACGUGGUCGUAGACCCGAAACCAGGUGAUCUACCCAUGUCCAGGGUGAAGUUCAGGUAACACUGAAUGGAGGCCCGAACCCACGCACGUUGAAAAGUGCGGGGAUGAGGUGUGGGUAGGGGUGAAAUGCCAAUCGAACCUGGAGAUAGCUGGUUCUCUCCGAAAUAGCUUUAGGGCUAGCCUCAAGGUAAGAGUCUCGGAGGUAGAGCACUGAUUGGACUAGGGGCCCCUACCGGGUUACCGAAUUCAGUCAAACUCCGAAUGCCGAUGACUUAUCCUUGGGAGUCAGACUGCGAGUGAUAAGAUCCGUAGUCGAAAGGGAAACAGCCCAGACCGCCAGCUAAGGUCCCAAAGUAUACGUUAAGUGGAAAAGGAUGUGGAGUUGCUUAGACAACCAGGAUGUUGGCUUAGAAGCAGCCACCAUUUAAAGAGUGCGUAAUAGCUCACUGGUCGAGUGACUCUGCGCCGAAAAUGUACCGGGGCUAAACGUAUCACCGAAGCUGCGGACUGUUCUUCGAACAGUGGUAGGAGAGCGUUCUAAGGGCUGUGAAGCAAGACCGGAAGGACUUGUGGAGCGCUUAGAAGUGAGAAUGCCGGUAUGAGUAGCGAAAGAGGGGUGAGAAUCCCCUCCACCGAAUGCCUAAGGUUUUCCUGAGGAAGGCUCGUCCGCUCAGGGUUAGUCGGGACCUAAGCCGAGGCCGAAAGGCGUAGGCGAUGGAUAACAGGUUGAUAUUCCUGUACCACCUCCUCACCAUUUGAGCAAUGGGGGGACGCAGGAGGAUAGGGUAAGCGCGGUAUUGGAUAUCCGCGUCCAAGCAGUUAGGCUGGGAAAUAGGCAAAUCCGUUUCCCGUGAAGGCUGAGCUGUGAUGGCGAGCGAAUUAUAGUAGCGAAGUUCCUGAUUCCACACUGCCAAGAAAAGCCUCUAGCGAGGUGAGAGGUGCCCGUACCGCAAACCGACACAGGUAGGCGAGGAGAGAAUCCUAAGGUGAUCGAGAGAACUCUCGUUAAGGAACUCGGCAAAAUGACCCCGUAACUUCGGGAGAAGGGGUGCUCUGUUAGGGUGCAAGCCCGAGAGAGCCGCAGUGAAUAGGCCCAGGCGACUGUUUAGCAAAAACACAGGUCUCUGCGAAGCCGUAAGGCGAAGUAUAGGGGCUGACGCCUGCCCGGUGCUGGAAGGUUAAGAGGAGCGCUUAGCGUAAGCGAAGGUGCGAAUUGAAGCCCCAGUAAACGGCGGCCGUAACUAUAACGGUCCUAAGGUAGCGAAAUUCCUUGUCGGGUAAGUUCCGACCCGCACGAAAGGCGCAACGAUCUGGGCACUGUCUCAACGAGAGACUCGGUGAAAUUAUAGUACCUGUGAAGAUGCAGGUUACCCGCGACAGGACGGAAAGACCCCGUGGAGCUUUACUGCAGCCUGAUAUUGAAUGUUGGUACAGCUUGUACAGGAUAGGUAGGAGCCUUGGAAACCGGAGCGCCAGCUUCGGUGGAGGCAUCGGUGGGAUACUACCCUGGCUGUAUUGACCUUCUAACCCGCCGCCCUUAUCGGGCGGGGAGACAGUGUCAGGUGGGCAGUUUGACUGGGGCGGUCGCCUCCUAAAAGGUAACGGAGGCGCCCAAAGGUUCCCUCAGAAUGGUUGGAAAUCAUUCGCAGAGUGUAAAGGCACAAGGGAGCUUGACUGCGAGACCUACAAGUCGAGCAGGGACGAAAGUCGGGCUUAGUGAUCCGGUGGUUCCGCAUGGAAGGGCCAUCGCUCAACGGAUAAAAGCUACCCCGGGGAUAACAGGCUUAUCUCCCCCAAGAGUCCACAUCGACGGGGAGGUUUGGCACCUCGAUGUCGGCUCAUCGCAUCCUGGGGCUGUAGUCGGUCCCAAGGGUUGGGCUGUUCGCCCAUUAAAGCGGUACGCGAGCUGGGUUCAGAACGUCGUGAGACAGUUCGGUCCCUAUCCGUCGCGGGCGCAGGAAAUUUGAGAGGAGCUGUCCUUAGUACGAGAGGACCGGGAUGGACGCACCGCUGGUGUACCAGUUGUUCUGCCAAGGGCAUCGCUGGGUAGCUAUGUGCGGACGGGAUAAGUGCUGAAAGCAUCUAAGCAUGAAGCCCCCCUCAAGAUGAGAUUUCCCAUUCCGCAAGGAAGUAAGAUCCCUGAAAGAUGAUCAGGUUGAUAGGUCUGAGGUGGAAGUGUGGCGACACAUGGAGCUGACAGAUACUAAUCGAUCGAGGACUUAACCAA